rnacentral:rRNA from 1 species
UACGUAGGGUGCGAGCGUUGUCCGGAAUUACUGGGCGUAAAGAGCUCGUAGGUGGUUUGUCGCGUUUGUUCGUGAAAUGCCACAGCUUAACUGUGGGCGUGCGGGCGAUACGGGCAGACUGGAGUACUGCAGGGGAGACUGGAAUUCCUGGUGUAGCGGUGGAAUGCGCAGAUAUCAGGAGGAACACCGGUGGCGAAGGCGGGUCUCUGGGCAGUAACUGACGCUGAGGAGCGAAAGCGUGGGGAGCGAACAGG